UCUAGUCUGUGUGUGUGUGUACAUAGGGGUUCUAGUCUGUCGACUGUGUGUGUGUGUGUGUGUACAUAGGGGUUCUAGUCUGUCGACUGUGUGUGUGUGUGUGUGGGUUCUAGUCUGUCGACUGUGUGUGUGUGUGUACAUAGGGGUUCUAGUCUUCUGUGUGUGUGUGUGUGUACAUAGGGGUUCUAGUCUGUCGACUGUGUGUGUGUGUGUACUGUGUCUGUGUGUGUGUGUGUACAUAGGGGUUCUAGUCUGUCGACUGUGUGUGUGUGUGUGUGUACAUAGGGGUUCUAGUCUGUCGACUGUGUGUGUGUGUGUACAUAGGGGUUCUAGUCUGUCGACUGUGUGUGUGUGUACAUAGGGGUUCUAGUCUGUCGACUGUGUGUGUGUGUACAUAGGGGUUCUAGUCUGUCGACUGUGUGUGUGUGUACAUAGGGGUUCUAGUCUGUCGACUGUGUGUGUGUGGGGUUCUAGUCUGU
ensembl:lncRNA